UGCAGUCGACGGCAGCACGGGUACUUGUACCUGGUGGCGAGUGGCGAACGGGUGAGUAAUGCACCGGAACGUAUCCAUAAUGGGGGAUAACGCACCGAAAGGKGUGCUAAUACCGCAUACGCCCYKRRGGGGGAAAGCGGGGGAYUCRAAARRAMCCCSSSKUWAWKGRRSSGSCSRAUGUCGGAWUAKCUWKKKGGKGGGGUAARGGCKCACCARGGCGACSAUCCGUAGCUGGUCUGAGAGGACGACCAGCCACACUGGAACUGARACACGGUCCAGACUCCUACGGGAGGCAGCAGUGGGGAAUUUUGGACAAUGGGCGAAAGCCUGAUCCAGCCAUGCCGCGUGAGUGAAGAAGGCCUUCGGGUUGUAAAGCUCUUUCGCAAGGGAAGAAAACUUAGUUAAUAACACUAGCUGAGGAUGACGGUACCUUGAUAAGAAGCACCGGCUAACUACGUGUCAGCAGCCGCGGUAAUACGUAGGGUGCGAGCGUUAAUCGGAAUUACUGGGCGUAAAGCGUGCGCAGGCGGUUUUGUAAGUCUGAUGUGAAAUCCCCGGGCUCAACCUGGGAACUGCGUUGGAAACUACAAGGCUAGAGUGUAGAAGAGGGGGGUAGAAUUCCACGUGUAGCAGUGAAAUGCGUAGAGAUGUGGAGGAAUACCGAUGGCGAAGGCAGCCCCCUGGGCUAACACUGACGCUCAUGCACGAAAGCGUGGGGAGCGAACAGGAUUAGAUACCCUGGUAGUCCA
rnacentral:rRNA from 1 species